rnacentral:lncRNA from 1 species
AUGCUUCCCUCCAUUUUCCCCCUCACAGUUCCCACAUUUUUCCCCUCACAGUUUCUGCCAUUCUGCCCUCAUGUUUCCCCUCCAUUUUCCCCCAUAUUUCCCAUCAUUUCCCCCUCACGGUUCCUUCCAUUUUUCCCUCAUGGUUCUUCUAUUUUUCCCCUCACAGUUCCCACUUUUUCUCCCUCAAAUUUCUGCCCUUUCCCCCUCACAUUUCCCACCACUUUUCCCUCACAGUUCCUACCAUUUUCUCUCUCACUCUUCCCAAUUUUUUCCUCUCAAUGUUUCUGCCCUUUUCCCCUCACAUUUCCCACCAUUUCCCCCUCACNNNNNNNNNNNNNNNNNNNNCUCCUCACUCUUCCCUCCAUUUUCCCCUCAUAUUUCCCACCUUUCCCCCCUCCUGUUUCCCUCUAUUUUCCCUCACAUUUCCCUCCAUUUUCCCCUCACGUUUCCCUCCAUCUUUCCCUCACAUUUCCCUCCAUUUUCCCCUCAUAUUUCCCAUCAUUUCCCCCUCACGGNNNNNNNNNNNNNNNNNNNNGCUGUGGGUGGGGUGUUCGGGGUGUUUUAAACCGCGGGGGUCGGUGCUGGGGGGCAGCAGAGCUGGGUGGGGGCGAACACCCUACAAAUUACUUCGGUUUUGCCUUUUCCCCCUUGUGUUUCCUGCCCUUUUUCCCUUCACUUUUCCCACCCUUUUCCCCCUCACAUUUCCUGCCUUUUUCCCUUCAGAUCUCCCUCUUUUUCCCCUCAUGUUUCCCUCCACUUUCCCCUCAGAUUUCCUGCCCUUUUCCCCUCCCGUUUCCCUCCAUUUUCCCCUCACAUUUCCUGCCCUUUUUCCCCUCACGUUUCCUGCCCUUUUUCCCCUCACGUUUCCUGCCCUUUUCCCCUCAUGUUUCCCUCCAUUUUCCCCUCACAUUUCCCUCCAUUUUCCCCUCACAUUUCCCUCCAUUUUCCCCUCACGUUUCCCUCCACUUUCCCCUCACAUUUCCCUCCAUUUUCCCCUCACAUUUCCUGCCCUUUUCCCCUCACGUUUCCCAUCCUUUUCUCCCCUCACCAUUCCCGCCUUUUUUCUCCCUCACAUUUCCUGCACUUUCCCCCUCAUAA